CCUACGGGAGGCAGCAGUGAGGAAUAUUGGUCAAUGGACGAGAGUCUGAACCAGCCAAGUAGCGUGAAGGAUGACUGCCCUAUGGGUUGUAAACUUCUUUUAUAUGGGAAUAAAACAGGGUAUGCAUACCCUCUUGUAUGUACCAUAUGAAUAAGGAUCGGCUAACUCCGUGCCAGCAGCCGCGGUAAUACGGAGGAUCCGAGCGUUAUCCGGAUUUAUUGGGUUUAAAGGGUGCGUAGGUUGUUUUUUAAGUCAGCGGUGAAAGUUUGUGGCUCAACCAUAAAAUUGCCGUUGAAACUGGAAGACUUGAGUGUGUUUGAGGUAGGCGGAAUGCGUGGUGUAGCGGUGAAAUGCAUAGAUAUCACGCAGAACUCCGAUUGCGAAGGCAGCUUACUAAGCCAUAACUGACACUGAAGCACGAAAGCGUGGGGAUCAAACAGGAUUAGAUACCCGAGUAGUC
rnacentral:rRNA from 1 species